rnacentral:rRNA from 1 species
ACUCCUUACGGGGGAGACAGUCAUGAGACGUGAGUAUAAGACCUGAGUGUAAAGACCUUAGGGUGAAGCAAUUGGAGGGCAAGCUUUGGUGCCAGCAGCCGCGGUAACUCCAACUCCAAGAGUGUCUAUGGUGGAUGCUGCAGUUAAAGGGUCCGUAGUCGUGAAUGCAAUUAAAUGUCGUUGUUCAAUAGCGAUGAGUUUGCUAAUGUUUGCGGAACGGAUAGGGAGUGUAGUAUAGACUGGCGAAGAAUGAAAUCUCAAGACCCAGUUUGGACUAACGGAGGCGAAGGCGACACUCUUAGACGUAUCUUAGGAUCAAGGACGAAGGCAGGAGUAUCGAAAGUGAUUAGACACCGCUGUAGUUCCUGCAGUAAACUAUGCCGACAGCCUGUGUGUGAGAAUACGUGGGCGGGAGAAAUCUUAGUGUUCGGGCUCUGGGGAUAGUACGCUCGCAAGGGUGAAACUUAAAGCGAAAUUGACGGAAGGACACUACCAGGAGUGGAUUGUGCUGCUUAAUUUAACUCAACGCGGGAAAACUUACCAGGGUCAAGUCAUUCGUUGAUCGAAUACGUGAGAAUGGCAGGAGGGG